rnacentral:lncRNA from 1 species
CCUCUAAAACAAGGAGGGAUGUUGGGACAAGACCCCCGAUCAUCCUAACAACUAAAGUACUAAAGCAAUGUAAAAGGAGACCUCUGGAAAGCAAAGAGGCUCACCAACUGACUCUGAGUGCUCAAAUGGAUCAACGAGGCGCUGGAUGCUGAUCCUGGUUACCUGUGUCUGCAUCAUAAAAUGACGCAGGACAAAUGGCAUUAGUACAUUGAAUGUGCGAGUAUGCGAGGAGAAUACUAAACAAGACAUAAGCUUGAAAGGAAUCUGAAAGGAACACUUACCUUGACUUUUCUCAACUCAUGAAUAACUCAACUGAAAUGCAAAGUAAACAACAAUACUGGUGCAGUUAUACAAAGCAUUUAAAAUAGAAGGUAACAACUCAAUUUGUUAAAGAAAUGCAAUACAACUCAGUUUACAUGUAAAGUAAUAUAAUACUGUGGGAGUUUCUCUAACCGAAAACCACCACUAGAGCCUAAGUGAUGAUACAACGUCUUGCCCACGCUGCCAGAAAUGUCCUAUACUUUUCCGUCAUAUAGAACACCUUAAUUAAGUGGAUCCACUAGUCUAUUCUAAAAAGUACUAAGGAAUCAUCUAAAAAGUAUGAUCCUUUUCUUCCCCUGAUGGCUACAUGGUUUAUGGAGACUUGAGUUAUUAUGAACUCGCGCCCCCAUAUCGGUGCUCAAUACUACUCCCAAAAUAUACUUAGCUCAUAUGUUUUUAAAACAAAACUCUUUCUUUGGUUUGAGAUAAUUACUCAAAACUUAGCUUAAAAUCGCUCUUGGAAAUUGGUGUUUCCUUUCUUGCUGAAAUGUGAAAACAUUUUAACUCUUGGGAAUACAUAGUUCCCGUAUAAUCUUUGAAAAAAAUGAACUUUACUCUUACUAUUUACUCAACUUAAAUCUCAUGUCUUAAAACAAAGUUAAAACGUUUGUGAAAGACUUUUGGAACACUCUAUGAACUUCUCUUGACUAAACUCUUAACAUCUUGACUUAACUCUUAACUUCCUUUGAAUUGAAAUAUGGAUUCAAGGCUCAUGACCUCAUGUUAAUGAUGAUUUCAUGAUGUUUAGACCUACCUUAGAUUAUAGAAAUCGACUAUAAAACAUAGGUACGUUGCUAAGGAACUAGUACGGUAAGAAGGGGAAAAUGAUGGAACAAUUGGCGUCCCUGGCGCUCUGAGAGGCGCGGGGCGCUAACCCUUAAAUUUCAGGGAUUGGGUUGGGGAGCUCUAGCUGGCACGGCCCCCCAGAGCCCAAAUUUCAGAGCCCCAGUUGGGGCGCUCUGGCUGGGGCGGUGCCCCAUGCCUUUGCCAAGGUGGGUUACGACUUUUCUUCUUCGUUUUCAACUCUAAACCCCCUAUUUCAACUUGGUUCUUUCCCCCAAACACUUAGAAUAAACUAUAACAUCAAUAUAUGUAAGAUUCUACUCGUAAUCACACCUAAAAUCAUGAAUCAAACUCAAUAAACUUCAACAACAAGAACCCAUAAGAUUUCAAACGAAUUAUCAUCAACAACUCAUAAGAUUUGCUUUCAAAACAAUACAACUUCGCUGAAUCGAAUCAUGAUUGGUGCGUGGGUGAACUAACCCAACGCUAUGUGAUCUCACAUACCUUGUAGGAUUGAAUCCUUGGCGAAAUCCACAACCAAAUUGUACGAUCUUGACGAAUCUUGACUUUUCUUCGCCUUUCUCCAAGACCUAGCGUGAAUUUCCAAUUUUGUAAACUGAUCUAAUUCUGAUUUCACCCCAAUUAAACUCCUAAAAUCGAAAUAAAAUAAUUGGGCAAGAAAAAGACCAAACUACCCUUCCAAAAUCCGGAUUAAACUUUCCUUAUUUGAACAACCCAACUUCAAAUGGGCAUAUCUCACUCAUACGAACUCAGAAUCGCGAUAACUCGGCGGCGUUGGAAAGAAAAUUCCAAGAUCUUUCCUAUGGUAUCUGGAAGCACACCUAAAUCAUCUUGAGCUAGGAGUUAUGAUUGUUUGAAGUUGACCCAAAACUCAAACUUAACAUAACUUGACCAAUUUUCCAGAUUAUUCAUUCUUUCCUAAAAUGACUAUUUCCAAUUCUAACUCUUUAUAGUUCUUUCAAAUAGCGAGAUGUUACAAUAUGCAAGGGCAAAAGGAAUAGGAGAAGCAACAAACAUGGAAGCAGAGUCGCUUGCUCUGCUAGAAGCAAUUUAGUACUGUCAAGAGAAAAAUUUAAAAGAGACUAUAAUAGAAAUUGAUUCUUUAGUUCGAAAAAUAUGGUGGAUCAUCAGUUGAAGAUACCGUGGGAAUUGGUAGAAAGAAUUGAAGAGAUUAGAAGGGCAAUACAAAGUAUAAAUGUGUCAUCAUAUUUUUAGAGAAGGGAUGCGUGGCAGAUUCAUUGGUCAAUGAAGUAGUGGAGUCACAAGAAACAAAGUGCUAUCAUCUAUUUCAGGAGCUACCAAGUAUAACAAAGAAGCAUCUAAACGUGGAUAAAGCACAUAAACCAAACAUAAGGAUGAAAACUCGCAAAUUCAACACACAUUGAUGAAAGUAGAGAACCAACAUAAAGGAAAUAUACGAAAUAGAUACCAACCAAACACUCACAUCAGCAACAGUCAUAACUACAAAUCAACAGUUAUGCGUGGAAUGAGAGAGCACAAUAAGUUCAUAGCAGAAGACUCUACACCGGUGCAAAAAUAAAACUAAAAUUAGAUAGCCUAGCUAUCAAAAAACUUCAAACAAGGCUUGUUGGUUUGGUCAUCUGAGGAACUGGUCAGAAGUGAUACCAGAUAGCACAAUCGACGUCAUAUCUAGGCAGAAAUGAAGAACAUCUAUUGUCACUUGGAGCUUUCCCACCGCAAUCUGUAAAGAAAAAGAAUCAGUAGCUCAAAGAUUGUAGAAGGAGGAGAUAAGGAAGAAAUUCUUACCAAGAGAUGAAGCGGCUGAAAAAGAGGGAAAGGGUUUAGUGUUUUUUGGAAAACUAGACAAGGAGUAGCUAAGAGAAGAUUUGAAAACUCUUCUCAUUCUUUUAUUUGGAUCGGGUCCAUUUAUGGAUCAGGUCAUGGUUUUUUC